rnacentral:rRNA from 1 species
GACAGAGGAUGCAAGCGUUAUCCGGAAUGAUUGGGCGUAAAGCGUCUGUAGGUGGCUUUUAAGUCUGCCGUCAAAUCCCAGGGCUUAACCUCGGACAGGCGGUGGAAACUACCAAGCUGGAGUACGGUAGGGGCAGAGGGAAUUUCCGGUGGAGCGGUGAAAUGCGUAGAGAUCGGAAAGAACACCAACGGGCGAAAGCACUCUGCUGGGCCGACACUGACACUGAGAGACGAAAGCUAGGGGAGCGAAUGGG